UCCUGUUGCUGCCCCCCGACUUACCGGCCCGCGCGGCCUUUCCGCCGCCGAGGCCGCGUAGCCUACGUCCCUUUUUCCAGGCCGCGGUCCCCAGGAAGGCAUGGCCAAAUGGGGAAGGUCACCUGCCGCCGUCCACCCCGGCGCUUUUCCCCCGGCCCCGGCACCCGGCCUCGCGGACCCGCCCUCCGCAGCCUCGGGCUCCUCCUAGGGCCGGAGAGCGUGCGACGGGGGACCCCGCCGGCCGCAGGGUUCCCGGGGCCCCAGGGGUUCUGUGGCUGCUCGUGAAUCCAUGCAACAUCCCUGGGAUGUGGAUGUUUUGUCCUCAGUUUUUCCGAUGAGUCAACUGAGGCACAGAGAGGCUGAGAAACUUUGCCAAGGACACAGCGGUCGGUGGUGUGCAGGGUGCGGCGCGCGGCCCCGGGCGGGGGCAGACAGCGGGGAAGUGGGGUCCCAGCCGCCGGGACCCGCCGAGGCAGCUCGGAACUGGAAGAUGGCCUGUGCGAGUGACGGGAAGAGCCGCUGCCAGAGGAUUCCAGGAAGUGACUCACCUGGGGAAACUGCUCAGAACCCAGCGGGCUGGCGGUGGUGGCUUAGCGGUAUUGGGACGCCUGUCCCGUCUACACUGCUUGUCUCUGAGCUCAGCGUGGCAUCUGCUGAUUGCUGCUCCAAUGCAAUCCUUUGCUGUUUUCUAGUGGGAAGGAUGAGCUAAACGACAAGGCUUGUGUGCGAGGAAUGAAGGAGAGGUGGAUAGUAAUCUGCUGAUAACUGGCUGAUUACCGACCAAAUAAAUCUCUUCAGUGGUGGCAGGUUGAAGCUAAAAAGAAGUAAGGGAUGCCUAUGAGUCCCAUAGAGGUAGGUGCAUUUGCGUAGGAGACACUUCCCAAUGAUGUUAAAAUCCUAACAUGGAGUCAGAGAUCUUCCUCCCAGCAUGAUUUAUGUAUAACAGUGAAUAUUAGGAAAAAUCUAAAUGUCUGGUUAUAGGGAAACGUUGAAGUUUUGAUGCAGCUAUUUGAUGAAGUAUUGUGAAACCUUUUCGUUUUUUGACAAAUAAGACAUUACAAUAUAAUUUUUUAAAAACAGGAGACAAUACUAUGCAAUAUUAUGUAAUUUGCAUAGGGACAGUGACUAGAACGAUAUGGCCGGGUACAGUGGCUCACUCCUAUAAUCCCAGCACUUUGGGAGGUCAAGGAGAGUGCAUAACUUGAGGUCAGGAGUUCGAGACCAGCCUGGCCAACAUGGUGAAACCCCAUCUCUACUAAAAAUACAAAAAUUAGUUGGGCGUGCUGGCGCACGCCUGUAAUCCCCACUACUUGGGUGUCUGAGACAAGAGAAUCGCUUGAACCUGGGAGGCGGAGGUUGCAGUGAGCUGAGAUCGUGCCACUGCACUCCAGCCUGGGUGACUGAGCAAGACUGUCUCAAAAAAAAAAAAAGAAAAAUAAUGUUGCAUUGUUCACUUAUUCAGUGAAAUAUAUAAUAUAUAUUGAGCCCUCCCCAGGCUAAGUGCUAGGAAUAUAGUGGAGAACAGAAAAAUAAUUGGUAUUUUUAAUGGAGUUUAUGGGUAGGUGAUAGGAGAGGUGGUUGUGAAUCAGAUAAUCACACAAAUAAAUCUAGAGCUGUUUAUUAUGUGCAUGUCAUAAAGAAGAAAUACAGUGCUGAAAAGUGUGUCAGUGUGGGGGCAGGGGAGACAGUGAAGGCUUUCCUGAGGAAGUGGUAUUUGAGCUGAGAUUUGAUGGGCGAGUAGGUGUCAGAUGAAGUGGGGAGAAGAGCAUUCGUUGCAAGGGAAGUAGGAUGUGCCAAGGUACUGUGGUUGGAGGGUUUUUACAGUAAUCUUCUGCUGAUAACUGGCUGAUUACCCACCAAAUAAAUCUCUUCAGUGGUGGCAGGUUGAAGCUAAAAAGAAGUAAGGGAUGCCUAUGAGUCCCAUAGAGAUAGGUGCAUUUGCGUAGGAGACACUUCCCAAUGAUGUUAAAAUCCUAACAUGGAGUCAGAGAUCUUCCUCCCAGCAUGAUUUAUGUAUAACAGUGAAUAUUAGGAAUAAUUCCAUAAUUGAAAGCCAGUAUAGCUGAACUGUAGAUAGGGGUAGAAUAGUGCAAGAAGAGCUUUACUUUUCAGGAUUUCCUUGUGAUUGUAUAUUACUUUUAUACUAAGCAGUCAUUUCAAAUAAAUAUUCAGGUGGCCAUUCUUUUCA